rnacentral:snRNA from 1 species
GUGCUCGCUUCGGCAGCACAUAUACUAAGAUUGGGGAUGAUACAGAGAAGACUAGCAUGGCCCCUGUGUGAGGAUGACACGCAAAUUCGUGAAGCGUUCCAUAUUUUA